rnacentral:misc_RNA from 1 species
CAGAGACAUUGCCCUUUGGGGUAGAUCUCCCACCCUUUGUUUACAUUACCUUUGUUGCUUUGGCAGGCCCGUCUUUGGACCACCGGCUUUGGCUGGUCUGUGCCUGCCAGAGGACCCUAAAUUCUUGAUUUUUGUGUUGUCUGAGUUAUUAUAAUAAGUUA